GUCGUCUUUCCAUCUGAAAUCUUUACUGGUAAAACUCUUGUAGUUUUGAAAUUAAGUGGAAAUGUUGGUCUGAAGGGUCCAAAAUUGUUUUGCUUACCGAAUCUUAAUUUGGAACAUUUGACAGUACUAGGAGAUAAUACAGAUUGGGCAUUUGCAUCAAUCUUGACAUUGCUUGAUGAAUUGCAGAUUUAUGGCGUAGAAUUUUGUGAUGUUGGAUCAAUUAAUAUCAACAGUCCUUGCCUGAAAAUGUUGGUGUGGACUUCGAAUCUGGUUCUGGAUAGGUUGUUCUUAAUACCCCCAUCUUAAGUGUCUGAAGUAUACAUGUUGUGCAACUCCAUUAAUCGGCUCAAAUUGCAUGCUCAGGUCCUUGCUAAAAGCUAAUCUAUCUUUCAUAUAUAUGAAGCAAACUUAUGAGCUUUAGGCUCCAGAGUUUUGUCAGUUCAUUGCUGAAAUGUGCAAUGUAAAGUCUCUUCGUGUAUAUUGGGAACAUGGACUGGUAUGUUCUUCGACUUCUGGGUGUGUUAGGUUCACUGGAAUUUUCAGGAUUUCAUGUUUUUUUUCUACAUAUAUUUUCUAAAAACUGGAAUGACUCUUGCUUUUUCUAUCAUGUGAAGUUUUCCCCCUUCGCAGAUCGUGUUGCUUCCUGAAUUUCUAAGUUUGAUGCAUUUGGAGUUUACAGCAACCGGGGCUAGCACUAGAAAUUUAGUAGUGAUUCUACUAUUUGAAAAUGCUAGUUUUUGACAUGGGUAAAGGCAGAAUACCUGUUGAUGAAGCCCUCCAUUCUGGUGCUGAAGACAAACCACUGUGUUUAAAUCAACAUCUUAGGGAAGUUGAGAUAAAAAAUUUCUGUGGGUAUUAAGAUGAGUUGAGACAGUAAGACAUCUUCUGAAGCAUGGACCUCUGUUAAAAAAGAUGUUUAUACACAGUUCAAGAACAAAAAUGCAAAAGCAAUGGCCCUUAUCUGCUCGCAAGAAGAUAAUGAAGUUCUCAAGGCAUUCAAAAAACUGUGAGAUUGUUCUUAUUUUAUGGAGUAAAAUUGUGCAGCAUUGAUGUUCAAAGAAAUAGAUGAGAUGAAAUGUUUGACAUUUGGAGAAAUAGAUGUUGAAGCAGUUUUUACUUGUAAAAUUCUUAGCUCUUGUGCUCAGUGCCUCUUCCUAUACGAGCUUUAUGGUAAGUACAUUCUAUGAACCAUCAGUAGUUUUGAGUCAUCAAGUAUUUAAUUCAAUGAAGCCAUGAAGUUCAUCUUUA